AUGUGUUGUCCAUGCACUGAAUGUGGGAACACGAGGUCUUACUCUAACCAGAAAAUCCUUCAAUCCCACCUGCUUUAUAAGGGUUUCAUGCCACACUAUAAUGUUUGGACGAGGCACGGAGAAAUAGGGGUUAUGAUGGAAGACGGCGAAGAAGAAGAGUACGAUGACAACUAUGUGCCCCCUGAAUAUGGUGAUGCUGCAACGGGGGGAGCUGGUGAAGAUCAAGAGGAACCAGACGACGUGCCCAAUGAUGCUGCAGCGGGUGAAGCUGCUGAAGAUCAAGAGGAACCAGACGAUGUGCCCGAUAAUGAUGAUCUCCACCGGGUCAUUGUCGAUGCAAGGACGCAAUGCGAAAGUCAGAAGGAGAAGCUGAAGUUCGAUCGCAUGUUAGAGGAUCACAAAAAAGGGUUGUACCCCAAUUGCGAAGAUGGCAACACAAAUCUCGGUACCAUACUGGAAUUGCUGCUGUGGAAGGCAGAGAAUGCUGUGGCUGACAAAGAAUUUGAGAAGCUACUGAAAAUAUUGAAGAAGAAGCUUGCAAAGGAUAACGAAUUUCUCGACAGUACAUACGUAGCAACGAAGGUCAUAUGCCUUCUAGGACUGGAGGUGGAGAAGAUACAUGCAUGCCCUAAUGACUGCAUCCUCUACCGCGGUGCAUACAAGGAUCUGAACGCAUGCCCGGUAUGCGGUGCAUUGUGGUAUAAGAUCAGACGAGAUGACCAUGGUGAUGUUGACGGCGAGCCCCCCAGGAAGAGGGUUCCUGCAAAGGUCAUGUGGUAUGCUCCUAUAAUACCACGGUUGAAACGUCUGUUUAGAAACGAAGAGCAUGCCAAGUUGAUGCGAUGGCACAGUGAGGACCGGAAGAAAAACGGGAAGUUGAGAGCACCCGUUGACGGGUCGAAGUGGAGAAAAAUUGAGAUAAAGUAUCGGGAUGAGUUUGCAAAGGACCCAAGGAAUGUAUGGUUUGCUUUAAGCGCGGAUGGCAUUAAUCCUUUCGGGGAGCAGAGCAGCAAUCACAGCACCUGGCCCGUGACUCUAUGUAUGUAUAACCUUUCUCCUUGGAUGUGCAUGAAGCGGAAGUUCAUUAUGAUGCCAGUUCUCAUCCAAGGCCCUAAGCAACCCGGCAACCACAUUGAUGUGUACCUAAGGCCAUUAGUUGAAGAACUUUUACAACUAUGGAAUGGAAACGGUGUACGUACGUGGGAUGAGCAAAGACAGGAGGAAUUUAACCUAAAGGCGUUGCUGUUCAUGACCAUCAACGAUUGGCCCGCUCUCGGUAACCUUUCAGGACAGACAAACAAAGGAUACCACGCAUGCACGCACUGUUUAGAUGACACUGAAAGUAUAUACCUGGACAAAUGCAGGAAGAAUGUGUACCUGGGCCAUCAUCGAUUUCUUCCGACCAAACAUCAAUGUCAAAAGAAAGGCAAGCAUUUCAAAGGCGAGGCAGAUCACCGGAAGAAGCCCGACAUGCGCACCGGUGAUCACGUACUUGCUAUGGUCAAUGAUUUACACAUAAUCUUUGGAAAGGGUCCCGGCAGACUAGCUGUUCCGAAUGACGCUGAGGGACACGCACCCAUGUGGAAGAAGAAAUCUAUAUUUUGGGACCUACCCUACUAG
rnacentral:rRNA from 1 species